rnacentral:lncRNA from 1 species
AUGCCACAUGUAAGGCGCGAAAACCUACUCAGCACCGAUUAUUAUCCAUUCAUUUUUACCUAAAUACCCAACAAUACUCAUUUUCAAUCAUCUCUCAAAGAACUCUACAUUUACAGUCUUUCUGCUCAAAUGGAGUGAACGAUUGUCAUAUGAUUUUCUGCCCGUUAGGUCAUUAGCAUAGCUUUUCCAGGAGCCCGCCAAACCCUCAAGGCAUAUUUUCAAUGGUCAAAGUGUGACUCAACCAUAGAACCUUUAAGAACCACUGAAUAACUCGUUUCCAUUGUUAUCGAUAGUUUUGCCAACAUAUUUGAUCUGAAAUACUUUGUUGUCUGACGAGGAUAUUGUCAGAGAUAAGUGAUAACUUAUUCCUAUGCUGCUCAUUUUUUAUGUUUCUAUUCCUUUGUAGUGAAAUACUAGGAAUCUUACUGAUUCAAUUUUAAGUUCGAAGAUUUUUGCUCUGGAACUAUGAAUGACGGAACAUACAUAGGAAAAGAAAAAGGAGUUUUCUUUUGUGUCAAGAAAGAAAAAGAAUUGAAAGGAAAGGGGAAGUGUCAGCGAAAAAAUAAAAAGAAAAGUGAAGAGAUAAGAGGACUGUGAUGAGAGGGGUAACGAAGAAGAUGAGAGGGGGGUACUCGGGGGCAUUUUAUUUUUUUUCAUUUUUAGUUUCUGUUCUUUUUAGUAUUUUUUUUUAUUCCAAUAAAUUAAAUUCACGCAUCUAAUUCGUGUGAUUGGCACACACUACAACCAUAUCACAUAUGGUGUUGCCACAUAAGCAUGGUCAACAGUCGAAUGUAUUUGAUAAACUUAUUCUCUUAACUUUGAGUAUCUAAAUGAGAAAGUUGUAAGUUUGUUUACCGUAUGACAAACUAAUACAAGUUUAAGUGGCUAAGAGACCUUUUUGCCAAAAAAUUAAAACAAUUACAAGAAAAUAUUAUGACUUCACACCAUAACAAAAACUGACCUAUGUUUUGAAGUUUUACCUGACCUAGCC